CGGGCGGCUGUUGGGAUGUUCGCGCAGCAGCUGCUCGAAGCGGCUGUUGGCCUGUGCGGCCAGGCCCGCACGC
rnacentral:tRNA from 1 species